rnacentral:rRNA from 1 species
CACACCGCCCGUCACACCAUGGGAGUUGAUUGCACCAGAAGUAGGUAGCCUAACCGCAAGGAGGGCGCUUACCACGGUGUGGUCAAUGACGUGGGGUG